UACGAAGGGGGCUAGCGUUGCUCGGAAUCACUGGGCGUAAAGCGCACGUAGGCGGAUCGUUAAGUCAGGGGUGAAAUCCUGGAGCUCAACUCCAGAACUGCCCUUGAUACUGGCGACCUUGAGUUCGGGAGAGGUGAGUGGAACUGCGAGUGUAGAGGUGAAAUUCGUAGAUAUUCGCAAGAACACCAGUGGCGAAGGCGGCUCACUGGCCCGAUACUGACGCUGAGGUGCGAAAGCGUGGGGAGCAAACAGG
rnacentral:rRNA from 1 species